rnacentral:rRNA from 1 species
ACGGGUGAGUAAUGUCUGGGAAACUGCCUGAUGGAGGGGGAUAACUACUGGAAACGGUAGCUAAUACCGCAUAACGUCGCAAGAUCAAAGAGGGGGACCUUCGGGCCUCUUGCCAUCAGAUGUGCCCAGAUGGGAUUAGCUAGUAGGUGGGGUAACGGCUCACCUAGGCGACGAUCCCUGGCUGGUCUGAGAGGAUGACCAGCCACACUGGAACUGAGACACGGUCCAGACUCCUACGGGAGGCAGCAGUGGGGAAUAUUGCACAAUGGGCGCAAGCCUGAUGCAGCCAUGCCGCGUGUAUGAAGAAGGCCUUCGGGUUGUAAAGUACUUUCAGCGGGGAGGAAGGUGUUGUGGUUAAUAACCACAGCAAUUGACGUUACCCGCAGAAGAAGCACCGGCUAACUCCGUGCCAGCAGCCGCGGUAAUACGGAGGGUGCAAGCGUUAAUCGGAAUUACUGGGCGUAAAGCGCACGCAGGCGGUCUGUCAAGUCGGAUGUGAAAUCCCCGGGCUCAACCUGGGAACUGGAUUCGAAACUGGCAGGCUAGAGUCUUGUAGAGGGGGGUAGAAUUCCAGGUGUAGC